rnacentral:rRNA from 1 species
GCGAAACUGCGAAUGGCUCAUUAAAUCAGUUAUCGUUUAUUUGAUAGUUCCCUGCUACUUGGAUACCCGUGGUAAUUCUAUGGCUAAUACAUGCAAAAAGCCGCGACUUCGGAAGCGGCGUGUUUAUUAGACUAAAGACCGACGCCCUUCGGGGCUUCCCGGUGAUUCAUGGUAACCUGUCGGAUCGCACGGCCCCCGCGCCGGCGACGGAUCAUUCAAAUUUCUGCCCUAUCAACUUUCGACUUUAGUGUAGUGGACUAAAGUGGUUGCAACGGGUAACGGAGGGUUAGGGCUCGACCCCGGAGAAGGCGCCUGAGAAACGGCGACUACAUCCAAGGAAGGCAGCAGGCGCGCAAAUUACCCAAUCCCGACACGGGGAGGUAGUGACGAUAAAUACCGAUGCAGGGCUCUUUCGGGUCUUGCAAUUGGAAUGAGUACAAUCUAAAUCCCUUAACGAGGAGCAACUAGAGGGUCAGUCUGGUGCCAGCAGCCGCGGUAAUUCCAGCUCUAGUAGCGUAUAUUAAAGUUGUUGUGGUUAAAAAGCUCGUAGUUGAACCUCGGCCCCGCCCUGCCGGUCCGCCUCACCGCGUGCACUGGACCGGGCGGGGCCUUCCCCGGGGGAACGGCAUGCCCUUCGCUGGGCGUGCCCGGGAACCCGGACCUUUACUGUGAAAAAAUUAGAGUGUUCAAGGCAGGCUCGCGCCCGGAUACAUUAGCAUGGAAUAAUAGAAUAGGACGCGCGGUUCUAUUUUGUUGGUUAUGGGACCGCCGUAAUGAUUAAUAGGGUCAGUCGGGGGCAUCAGUAUUCGGCUGUCAGAGGUGAAAUUCUUGGAUUUGCCGAAGACUCACUACUGCGAAAGCAUUUGCCAAGGAUGUUUUCAUUAAUCAGGAACGAAAGUUAGGGGAUCGAAGACGAUCAGAUACCGUCGUAGUCUUAACCAUAAACUAUGCCGACUAGGGAUCGGGCGGUGUUGCUUUCUGACCCGCCCGGCACCUUUCGAGAAAUCAAAGUCUGUGGGUUCCUGGGGGAGUAUGGUGGCAACGCUGAAACUUAAAGAAAUUGACGGAAGGGCACCCNCCAGGGGUGAAGGCUUUGCCCCGAACAGCGGCCCGCGAGGGUGGGUGGUCCCUGGGCCUUAGGCCCCAACAAGCGCUAGUGCGCUGCGCAGUGCGCCGAGAGAGGCGCGCUGCGGCGUGCGACGCACCCAAAUUGCGGGGAACUCCUAAAGCCUCCGACACCAAGCCGCCCGCCGAAAGGCGCGCGGUGGCCGGGUUAGCCGCCCGGGUGGUAACAGCUCGGUGGAUGCAACAGUGGACGACCCGCAGCCAAGCCCCUAAACCGCCCCCCCCCCUCCUUCCGGCGGGGCGCGGCACGGGGAAGGUUCAGAGACUGGACGGGUGCGGGUCCCCGGGGGCGGUUGUCCCCCGGGGGCCCAAGGUACAGUCCGGCCCCGCCCGAGAGGGCGGGGGGCCCGGGGCAUGUCGUGCCCUGGCGCAGCGGGAGCCUGCGGCUUAAUUUGACUCAACACGGGGAAACUCACCAGGUCCAGACACAAUGAGGAUUGACAGAUUGAGAGCUCUUUCUUGAUUUUGUGGGUGGUGGUGCAUGGCCGUUUUUAGUUGGUGGAGUGAUUUGUCUGCUUAAUUGCGAUAACGAACGAGACCUUGACCUGCUAAAUAGCCCGGGCUGCUCCUGCAGCCCGCCGGCUUCUUAGAGGGACUCUUGGCUUAAGCCGAUGGAAGUGCGAGGCAAAAACAGGUCUGUGAUGCCCUUAGAUGUUCUGGGCCGCACGCGCGCGACACUGACAGGGACAGCGAGUGCCCCCUUUCCCGAGAGGGACGGGUAAUCUUGGAAACCCUGUCGUGCUGGGGAUAGGGCGUUGCAAUUAUCGCCCUUCAACGAGGAAUCCCUAGNAAGCGCGAGUCAUCAGCUCGCGUUGAUUACGUCCCUGCCCUUUGUACACACCGCCCGUCGCUACUACCGAUUGAAUGGCUUAGUGAGGCUUCCGGACUGGCCCAGGGGGGUCGGCGACGACCGCCCAGGGCCGGAAAGCUAUCCGAACUUGGUCAUUUAGAGGAAGUAAAAGUCGU